GGGGGUAUAGCUCAGUUGGGAGAGCGCUUCGCUGGCAGCGAAGAGGUCAUCGGUUCGAGCCCGAUUAUCUCCA
rnacentral:tRNA from 4 species